GCAAGUCGAACGAGAAGCUUCUUUCGGGAAGUGGAGAGUGGCGCACGGGUGAGUAACGCGUGGGAUUUUGCCUCUUGGUACGGGAUAACGUUUGGAAACGAACGCUAAUACCGUAUGUGAUCUACGGAUUAAAGAUUUAUCGCCAAGAGAUGAGCCCGCGUAGGAUUAGAUAGUUGGUGGGGUAAAGGCCUACCAAGUCUACGAUCUUUAGCUGGUCUGAGAGGACGAUC
rnacentral:rRNA from 1 species